rnacentral:misc_RNA from 1 species
GCAAACUUGGUCAUUUAGAGGAAGUAAAAGUCGUAACAAGGUAACCGUAGGUGAACCUGCGGUUGGAUCAUUAAAAAAAACCCCACGUCGGUCUUUCCAACGUGACACAUCUUGUGAACCUGUAACUUCCGUCUUUGCAGGCGGAGGGGGAGGGGUUUGGAUCGAAAGGUUCAAGCUCCUCUUUUUUUGCUCACUUUGUGCAUAAUGCUUUGGGAAAUGAUUCUGAAUGGUUGUUCGAAAACCACUUUUUUUUGAACAUAAAACAAAGAAAAUGAUUUAAAAACAACUUUUGGCAACGGAUCUCUUGGCUCUCGCAUCGAUGAAGAACGCAGC